CAAAACUUCAAAAAUAGGUCUCAGUUCGGACUGUAGGCUGCAACUCGCCUACACGAAGUUGGAAUUGCUAGUAAUCGUGGAUCAGCAUGCCACGGUGAAUACGUUCCCGGGUCUUGUACACACCGCCCGUCACACCAUGGGAGCUGGUAACACCCGAAGUCAGUAGUCUAACCGCAAGGAGGACGCUGCCGAAGGUGGGAUUAGCGACUGGGGUGAAGUCGUAACAAGGUAAC
rnacentral:rRNA from 1 species